AUAUGGUCCUGGUCAGUUCUUUGCUUGGGAGGGAGUGGGAUCUUUUGUUACAGCCAGGUAGUAGAUGUAAUAUGGUCCUGGUCAGUUCUUUACUUGGGAGGGAGUGGGAUCUCUUGUUACAGCCAGGUAGUAGAUGUAAUAUGGUCCUGGUCAACAUUAGUGACCCCUCCUGUCUCAGCCUCCAGUAUUUAUGCUGCAGUAGUUUGUGUCGGGGGGCUAGGAUCAGUUUGUUAUAUCUGGAGUACUUCUCUUGUCCUAUUCGGUGUCCUGUGUGAAUUUAAGUGUGCUCUCUCUAAUUCUCUCUUUCUCUCUUUCUUUCUCUCUCUCGGAGGACCUGAGCCCUAGGACUACCUGACAUGAUGACUCCUUGCUGUCCCCAGUCCACCUGGCCGUGCUGCUGCUCCAGUUUCAACUGUUCUGCCUUAUUAUUAUUCGACCAUGCUGGUAAUUUAUGAACAUUUGAACAUCUUGGCCAUGUUCUGUUAUAAUCUCCACCCGGCACAGCCAGAUUCCCUGAUCCACCUCUACGCAGACGACACCAUUCUAUAUACUUCCGGCCCGUCCUUGGACACUGUGCUAUCUAACCUCCAAACGAGCUUCAAUGCCAUACAACACUCCUUCCGUGGCCUCCAACUGCUCUUAAACGCUAGACCUGAGCCCUAGGACCAUGCCCCAGGACUACCUGACAUGAUGACUCCUUGCUGUCCCCAGUCCAGCUGGCCGUGCUGCUGCUCCAGUUUCAACUGACCUGAGCCCUAGGACCAUGCCCCAGGACUACCUGACAUGAUGACUCCUUGCUGUCCCCAGUCCACCUGGCUGUGCUGCUGCUCCAGUUUCAACUGUUCUGCCUUAUUAUUAUUUGACCAUGCUGGUCAUUUAUGAACAUUUGAACAUCUUGGCCAUGCUCUGUUAUAAUCUCCACCCGGCACAGCCAGAAGAGGACUGGCCACCCCACAUAUGCUCUCUCUAAUUCUCUCUUUCUUUCUCUCUCUCGGAGGACCUGAGCGCUAGGACCAUGCCCCAGGACUACCUGACACGAUGACUCCUUGCUGUCCCCAGUCCACCUGACCGUGCUGCUGCUCCAGUUUCAACUGUUCUGCCUUAUUAUUAUACGAC
ensembl:lncRNA